rnacentral:pre_miRNA from 1 species
GAGCUCCUUCCUCCGUGGGUUGGGAUUUGUUGUAUUACUCGGAGAUCUCUGAACAGUAUUGCACUUGUCCCGGCCUGUGGAGGACCGGGGAGAAU